AAAAGAAUAAAAACAAAACCCAGACAACACAAUUUCAGAAAACGAUUAACAGAACCAUCGAUUCUUCUUCUUCCGCCGUCUCAUUCGUCGCUUCUCCACUCACAAUGGCAACCCCUGACACUACAACCGCCACCACAACCACCACCAACACAACCGAUGAAAACCCUCUCGAAACCCUAGACUCCACUUCACCCAAACCCGACUCAGAUCCCACCCUCGCCGACACAGACGCCGACAAAUCCAAAGACACUCCCUCUGCUGAACCCGAAACCGACGCUCCACUUUCCGAUGUUCAGAAAAAGAUGCGUCGCGCCGAACGAUUCGGUAUCACUGUCCAGUUAUCAGAGAAAGAGAAACGCAAUUCAAGAGCCGAAAGGUUUGGCACUGCUUCUGUAUUACAAGGACCUGAAGGAUCAAAAGCAGAAGAUCUGAAGAGGAAAGCUAGGGCAGAAAGGUUUGGAAUGCCUACUCCUACUACAGCUGCUGAUGAGGAUGCAAAGAAGAAAGCUCGUCUUGCUAGGUUUAAACCCGGUUCCAAGACUGAUCCUGCUGAGGAAGAUAAAAAGAAAGCAAGAGCACUUAGGUUUUCGAAUUCAUCAUCAACUACACUCUCUCAAGUCAAUCCUGAGGCAAACAUUGAGCCUGUAAGUCCCUUUGGUUUAUUAGGAAGUUGCAAUAUUUACUGUUAUAGAAAGAUGGAAUAAAUUUUGCUUUUGUUUCUUUGAUUCUUAUGCUUGUUCUGUUUUUUAUACUAUAAGGCGGCUAUCACCGGCAAUGCUGGAGGAGGUACCUGAUUUUAAAGCUUGGUGCUUUUGUUGUAGGAUUUUUUUUCUUAUUUUGGUAGUUUUUAGCAUUUCCAUAUUCACAGAGUGGCUUCCGCACCAUAUCUACUUUUGAACUGUUAGUCCCCAGCAGCGUCUAUCUUUCAUUGUUUACUGAUACCUUCCUCCAACCCGUGGAUAGAUUCAAGUGGUCAGAAGUUCCCUGCUUUUGUUGUCUCAGUAUUGGCUCACUAGGUGACACUUUUGGGUAAUUCUUGGCCGUUUUUAUAGUGUAACAUAUCUUAAAAUCAGCAAGGAUUUGAAUUUUAGAAACUACAGCCUAAAUUUUUUUAGAUGAAUGGAGUUAUUUUUUGGAAAGGAACUUUUUUGUUUAUAAUUAUCUACUGCUAGUUAAAUGCUCAUUAUCAUUGUGCCAAAGGGUAGUGCCGGAUUGGUUUUACUGAUCCAACUUCAUGCUGAUCCAGUAUUUUGUAAUAUUAGCUAGGUUUUGUUGCUUAGCGUGUCUUUGAGGAAUGAUGAAUAACUGAGGAAAUAGGUCAUCUAUUACAGAAUAGCUUGCAUAUAGGAUGAACUUUUUUCUGGUUAAUGCAUGACUUCUAUUUUGGGGAGAGGUGGAUAAAGUUAGAUUACUUCAUCUUUUAUGGGUAAUAUUGUUCUGUCAAGUUUUUUUCUGAAUGGUUCUUGGUCUAAUUUCUCACUAAGCUGAAUGUGAAAGGAUAGAGUGAACAUGGAACUACUGAUAAUGGCUGCAUUUUUACUUGCAUCUGAAAUUGCUUUCCCCACCCCCUUUGUUGUUCUGAGUUUUUCGUUGAUGUGUGUUUAUGCCUAUUCACUUUGAAUCUGAAUCAUGUUAGUUGAAAAGGGAUCAUACUAUGUGUUGGUGCUUGUAGAAAUGCAUCAUGUUUGGUGUAAAACUAUUAUUCAGCCUAUGUGGAUCAGUCUGAAUGUUGGAGGCUAUGUUUCCGAUACUAUCUUCUGGCACUAGCUUAUGCAGUAAUCUGAAUUUUUUAAAUGAGAACUUAAAAUGUGACUGAACACUGUUGCUUUUUUACAUAGGUGCUUAAACUAAGUUUUUCAGUAAGGCUGUAGCUUCUAAUUUUUUCACCUUUGCUGUUAUUUUAAGAUAAGUGAACGCUUUGAAGUUGUUUUUAUUAAGGAAUAGAAUUGUAUAUCUGUAGUGUUGGAUGUGGAGAAAAUUCUGUACUCUUAUUACUGAAAUAGUACCUUGUAAUCUAUACCAAUGAUUGGAGAAUAGAAUAUACUCUGAUUCUGGGGUUAAUAUUUUUGCUUGUUAGUACAGUUGAAUGGAAGGACCAUUAUUUCAUGCAAA